ACCACUGAGCUAAAUCCCCAGCCCCCUGUGAUGACCUCUUAAACUGGGAAAUAAGAAGGUGUCUUUGCUUCUUUGCAAUAGUCUCAGGGUCUCCGUCUGUCUACCUGUGGUAAUAACUGAGUGAUGACAUCACCAAGGAUUUUGCAUUCUUAAGACUGCAGGUAUUUUUCCAGACUGGGCUUUGCAGUAAACCUGCCUCAGGGCCUUACUGUAACACCCUUCACAGAUGAGCACCCUGAGGCCUAGGCAGGUCAAAGGCUACGACUCAAAAACAGGGCUCUGGCUCGCCCCUCUAUACUUAUGCCAGUCGCGUGGGGGAGUGUAGUUCUCAAAGCCAACCCUGGUUUGUGGCCUGGAGCUGGGGCACCCAAGCCACACACACCCUCUGGGCCCUGGCUGGGCCAGAUGUGUCCGCCAGAGGCCACCAGGGGGCGCUGCAAUGCCGGCGACUCCCGGGUGAGGUCCACGCCUGUUCCACGGACCCAGCCUCAGCUCCUGGAGCCGGCAACUUGAGGCGGACAGGGCAGAAGCUGGGAGAUCGCUUGGCCCCGGGCAGCGCAGACCUCAGCCGCAGCUCAAGCCCUGGUCCAGGCAGGCUUCUCGACGCUCGGGGAGUCGGGGUACUGAGCCUCGGAGUCAGGGGUGCUGCGCCCCGGGCAGACCUCCUUCCUCUUUUCCAGUCAUAGGCUCCGUAUGUGAACUCGUUUGCAUCUCUGCGGGCUUUAAAUGUUGCACAACUCCACGGAAGAAGAAACUCUGCCACAAGGCCCGUUCCUAUUGCAAAGCCCCAUGUCUUUGAGAUGUCUGUUUCUACUCCACCACUCUCGGCUGAGGCCAUGUGAAAGCUUAUGUGAGCACCUUGCAUCACAGGAUAAACACGAGGCUGCUCUCUGUCCCUUCAGGACGAAGGAGCGGUGGGGAAGUCACAGGACACUCACCUGAGGAUCCAUCCACUCCCACCACCCAGGUCCAGCAGCAGUGAGUGACCAGAAGCAGGCCAUUGCCAGGUAUCCUUGAAGGGCAGGGAGUCUGUCCAGCCACGCCCAGGAAAGCACGCCCGUCCUGGAGCAUGUUCGGGUGUGGCCUUGGAAGAUAUGCAACUGAGAGCAGAGGUCAGAACAGAACCAGAUCAGAAGGGCUUUGCUUGGCCAGGCCGUUUGGCUCUGCAGCACACCUGGAUCCCAUUCCUAGACUGUCCGGCUCUGAUUGGUGCCCACUGCAGGCUCCGCCUCCAGCUCUUUGGAUGAGAAAAUAUGGACGCCUGUGUUUUAAGAACUGAAACUGUCCUGGGACCUCGGCCCACUGGAGUUUGCUGCCACAUUUAAGGUGGUUCCUCCCAGCUCCGUUAAUUCCAUCUAGAGAGUACCUCACCCACACGGACAGGUUUGUCUCCCAGGUGAUUCUAGACCCUGUCAAACUGGCUGUAUUAAAGUGUCACGUGCUGGUUGCUGUAAGGACAGUCCCCAGAAGCUGCCUUCUCUAAGCACCCACAGUGCUGAGACUCUGGCCUUGACCGCUCAUACUUCAAGUUGGGCUGCAUUUCUGAGAGUUCUGCUACAGGGGCAUGGCUGUGCUCUCCCGGGGCAGGGGCCUCCCCAGGUUCAGAACCCUUGAAUCACCACUAUCUAUCUCCCUCUGCCCUUUUCCCUCCUUCCUGGCCCCCUCUCUUAAAAACCUUACUGUGCGGCAUGGAGAACCCCAGCAGGAGCUCCUGCAGGGAGAGAGAAGGCACACUGGUGAGGAAGCUUGCUUCUUUCUCAGCUGUAGCUGGGGCCAAGCCUACAGCCUCUUGUCAACAGGGUUUUCAACUAAAUCCAGGACUCACCAUCGAGCUGGACUGCUGCCUGCUGGCUUCACCUGCCUCUCCUCAGCAGUGCUGAGGCUGCUGGUGUGCCCCAAGGGUACCUGGCCUUCACCGUUUACAGGGAUGACGGGGAUUGGAAUGAGGUUCUGCAUGACAAGC
rnacentral:sRNA from 1 species